rnacentral:rRNA from 1 species
UGUGCCCUACGGGAGGCAGCAGUGGGGAAUAUUGCACAAUGGGCGAAAGCCUGAUGCAGCAACGCCGCGUGAAGGAAGACGGUUUUCGGAUUGUAAACUUCUGUUCUUAGUGAAGAAUAAUGACGGUAACUAAGGAGCAAGCCACGGCUAACUACGUGCCAGCAGCCGCGGUAAUACGGAGGAUGCGAGCGUUAUCCGGAUUUAUUGGGUUUAAAGGGUGCGUAGGCGGAAGGUUAAGUCAGCGGUCAAAUGUCGGUGCUCAACACCGGCCUGCCGUUGAAACUGGUCUUCUUGAGUGAGCGAGA